rnacentral:rRNA from 1 species
GUAUUUAGUACAAUUGAGAUUUGAAUAAAAAAAUGUUAAGAUUUUUUUAAUUAUAGAAUAUUAAAUUAAAUGUAUUAUAUGAGUUAAUCCUCUAAUAUUAAUUUAUUAAAAUAAUUUAAUAUUAAGUAUAUCUAUAUAUUAAAAUUAUAUUUAAAUUUAAUUAAAUUAAGAAUUAACUAUGUUAAAAUUAGUAUAUAUUUUUUGUUUUAUUAAGGAACUCGGCUAAUUAUUAUUCACCUGUUUAUCAAAAACAUAGUCUUAUGUAUUUAUAUAAGGUGAAACCUGCCCACUGAUGUUAAAUUUAAUGGCCGCAGUACCUUGACUGUGCUAAGGUAGCAUAAUAAAUUGACUUUUAAUUGGGGCCUUGAAUGAACGGAUAAAUGGAUAAUUUCUGUCUCAAUAAAAAUUUUAUAAGUUACUUAAAAGGUGAAAAUUCCUUUAAAUAAAUUAAAUAGACGAGAAGACCCUAGGAGUUUUUAAUUUUGUUGGGGCGACAGUAUAGCAUUAUAACCUAUAUAUAAAUAUUUAUAUAAAACGAAUAAUUUUAAUAAUAAAUAAACUACCCUAGGGAUAACAGCAUAAUUUAAUUUUAAGUUUGUGACCUCGAUGUUGGACUAGGGACUUUUAAAGCUAACAGUGUUAAUUGACAGUUCUGUUCGA